UACGUAGGGCGCAAGCGUUGUCCGGAAUUAUUGGGCGUAAAGAGCUCGUAGGCGGUUUGUCGCGUCUGCUGUGAAAACCUAAGGCUCAACCUUGGGCUUGCAGUGGGUACGGGCAGGCUAGAGUGCGGUAGGGGUGACUGGAAUUCCUGGUGUAGCGGUGGAAUGCGCAGAUAUCAGGAGGAACACCGAUGGCGAAGGCAGGUCACUGGGCCGCAACUGACGCUGAGGCGCGAAAGCGUGGGGAGCAAACAGG
rnacentral:rRNA from 1 species